AGAGGAUUAGUUUAAUCAAAACACUUGAUUUCGGCUUAAGAGACUUCAGCAACUAACCUGAAAUCCUCCU
rnacentral:tRNA from 1 species